ensembl:lincRNA
GGUGGACACUCUGUUGAGUGAAACGAGAGGAGCUGCUGUGAGCUUCUUUGUCUUGGGGCUGAGAGAAUCCUUUUGGGGUGCAGAAUGGUAUGGCGUGGACACUGGUCCUCUUGAAGGAAGAAUGGGCAGCUGACUACUCCUUGCCAAGCCCUGGCCUGGAUGAAAAGUUGACUUGUUUCUUUCCCUCUUCCUCCCUAACCUGUUCUUUCUUUCCACUAGAAUCCCUGCCCAGAGUCCAGCGCCUCCUUCCUGUCCAGGAUCACCUUCUGGUGGUUCACAGGAGUUGUCUUGAAUCUGCCUGUGCUGGCCAUGUGGUCUCAGAGACACCAACUCUGUCCUGCAAGUUUAUCACCUUGAAUAUGAUAAACACAAGAGCCAUGAGCAGCUUAAAUCUCUACAGAAGGCUUGGCCUGGGAAAGCCGUACACUGGACUGCUCUUGCUUUAGCUUCAGAUUUGGAUUCUACUUGUGCAGGGCUCCAUGGCAGUCUCCAAUCUUUAAAUCUUCAAUCUAUGAAAGCACAGAUUCCUGAAAGGAUGACCUCAGAUGACCAGCAGUAGCUCUCUACAUCCCUGCUCCUGAAUAACAAGCUAACUGGAGUCUCCAUCAACUGCCCCAGCAGUUCCAGUUACCCAACGGAACUUCAUGACUGAUUGGCCAGUCAGUCAUGCCCCUGACCCAGCCUACAUGAAUAUUGGCAGGCCAUCAGUGAAUUAUGAAAGGCAGCAGAGGUGAGAAGGCACCUGCCCUGGGCUACAGAUCUAUGCAGUUCAGGAAUCUCCAGCCCCUAGUACUCAAGAAGCUCUAAGCCACCCCUCUGUAAGUCAGAAUGGAAGCACAUGACACCACAUUUCUAUCUGCUGUAGAAACUCCUCCCCAUGUCUCAAAAUGCUUUAGCAUCUUUCAGUAAAAAUCUUCAAGUUUGUCAGUUAUUGAUUUAAAAAAAAAGGCAGCAACGUGUUUAAAGCUCCCUUCAACUCUCUAUUUUAAUGUGCCUUUGUAAAUUCCAACAUCUUGUUUUCUUCUUCUUUGUAAUUUAUCUUUAUUAAACUUGUCAUAAACUCCAAUAUUCCGAUCUCUUACUGAAGAAUCCAUAUUCCUAUCCAAUCCAGUGUUGUUUCUUCAAACCUGGCCUUUCCCUGCUCAUUCCAUUCUUAGCCGCUUCCAUUGGGUUUACCAGUUAAUUUCAUUCUCAUUCUAUCCACUGGGUGCACCAGACUCACUCCCCUUUGUAUCGUCGUCGUCGUCAUUAUCUGAGACAGAGUCUCACUCUAUCACCAGGCUAGAGGGCAAUGGCAUGAUCUCAGCUCACUGCAAUCUCUGCCUCAUGUGUUCAAGCUCCUGCCUCAGCCUCCCAAGAAGCUGGGACUACAGGCACCCACCACCGUGCCCAACUAGUUUGUUUUUUAUUUUUAGUAGACUGAUUUUCACCAUUUGCGCCAGGAUGGCCUGGAUCUCUUGACCCCAUAAUCUGCCUGCCUCAGCCUCUCAAAGUGCUGGGACUACAGGUGUUGGCCACCAUGGCAUGACUGUAAUCCCAGCUAUUUUGGAGGCUGAGGCAGGAGAAUCACUAGAACCAAGGAAGCAGAGGUUGCAGUGAGCCAAGACUGCACCACUGCACUCAAGCCUGGGCAAGAGAGCAAGACUGUCAACAACAACAAAAUGC